AGCAAAGGCCAUGCAGAAGUAGUAUAAAGAAAACAGAAGUACAAAGGCACUAGAAUUUUAGAGGCCAGCGCAAAGAUUGCUUCUGGCUUGUCAGGCCAUGGGAUAUUCUCUGGCAGUGUUCGUGAGAGAGCUGCCUGGAUGGUUCCUUUUCACUGGAAUUUUCUUGCCAGUAACUUUGCUUCUGCUGCUGCUCAUUGUUUAUCUUAGGAUCAAGCUGAAGGAAGUGAACAAGGAGCUAUCCCUGGCCAAGAACCCCACAGAUGCAGUUCUGGAGUAUUGCGUUAAAUACAACAAAACAAAGAGCUCCAAAAGGAAACCAAGAUCAUCAUAAAGAAAUUGGUCCCCACAUCAAGCUCACAGUUUUGUAUCAUCGCUGCAUCGCUACUGCCCUGACUUCCUUUCAGGGUGAAUUCUCGGUGGAGAGGAAUAACUAACUGUCUUUGCAAGACAGCCAGAUGCAAACAUGCUGCCCAGUCCUAAAACACCACGAAAAGUGCAUGAGGCUUCUUCUCUAUUUUGUUGGUCAAUAUCAGAUUUGCCAAAUCAGCCACCGACUUGUUCACCAGCUCAGCAUCUCAGGCGACGGACUCAAGACUGGAGAGGGGAAAGGAAACAACCAGGAUGCUUAGCGUCCUGGGAUGGAGCACUGAAUAGUCCUACCACCUGCAGCCUGUCUAUGCAGGUUUAUCUGCCUUUAAAAAACUGCUAAGUUAACAACAACCAUUGCAAGAGAGUCAAACAUCCCACUCUGGAUGCUUGGAUAUUGCACCUCUGAUUUACAAACAUACAAGCAGUAAAUAAAAGGUUGAUUCUA